UAUGUCCCGUUCUCUUCCCACAGGACAGCGCUGUAGAAGUAAGGGGCAGACAUGAUGCCGGCUGCCAGCCAUAAGAUGCCACAGGCCAGAGGAACAGCCCAGGAUGGCCGCCGCAGUCGAGCCCACACAGGCCUCAGCAGGCACAGGCAUCGCUCCAAGGCCACAGCACAGAGGAGGAAGGCUGAGGCGUACAGCCCCAGGCCUCGCAAGAACAUGAUGAGGUGGCAGAAGACACGGCCAAACGGCCAGCUGUAAUUGUGAGCGAUGUAGCCCAACAUGAGGGGGGUUCGCAGGAGCAGCACCAAGUCGGCCAGGGCCAGGUUCAGGACAUAGACACGGAAACUGCUGGCAGCACGCGUCUCCCCACCGCUGCCUCUGCGCACCAGACGACUGUGACUCUGUAUUCCAAGUGCCCAGACCACCACACCAUUCAGAGAUUCCUUGUGUUUGUGAAGCUGAGCAGGAGUUCCAGAGAAAAGGUGUGCCCACGGGCUGCUUGAUGAUGCCAUAAUUGAUCUUCACCAGUAGAUGGCAGUGCUGCUCAUACGCUAAACAGAGGCAAUGUACUGGGCUCUCACAGGAAUGCAACACAUACACUACCAAGUCCAUGGCAGUGAGAUGCAUGAAGCCCGAGUGCCGCCGGCAGAGUCCCGCAGUGCCGCCGUCAGUGCUGGAGAACCGUGGGGGAGGGGAUGGGUAGUGAGAAUGGACGGGGAGGCACCUGGUCUUCUCAGAAGCCGAGUGGUAUGACUUGGUUACUGGGUUACCACAAGCAAACACUGCAGGCAGUCAGAUCCUGGGCCAGUUUGUUCGCGGCGCCUGAGAUAGUUAACAAGGAUAGUUUGCAGGUUUACAGUCAUUUAGUGGAAAAGGGUCUCUGUCAAAAUCCCCCACUGAGCACACUCCCAUAACUGACAAUCAGAAGUCGACUUCAUUUAAUUGCCCUGCACACUCAUUAUGUUGUGCAGGUGGUGGAUUGGUAUGAAAUGGAUGCUUCAUAUAUUUGUGUAAAGAUAUGAAAAUGAUACCAGGGUGUUUUUAAGCAUUCGGUUGACUUCAAUGAUGGCUUAUACAGCAAACAUGUUAGAAUGUUGUCAUGUUUAAACCCGGGGUUUAAAUCCUGAUCUGAUCCAGAAAAUCUGUUUAAAUAUUCACAAGAACUCUAAUGACUUUUCCUCUAACGCCACCACGAGGUUGUCACUUUUUCUUUUUUUUUUUGAAGUGACAUCUCAACAACUACAAGAGAGAUUGUCAUUCACUUUGGGACAGAUCUAGUAAAAAUUAAUGAUUAAACACCUGCAAAACUAAUGACAUUCAGCACACUGAUACUAACUGAGAAUAACUCGCUCGCAUGGCUACAACCACCUACAGCGUGUCCCCACUUCAAACCAGAUUAAAUAGGGUUGAUAUUUGAUUGAUUGACGCGUAAUAUUCUCCAAUGUAGGGUUGAUAUUUGAGUGAUUGAUGCGUAAUAUUCUCCAAUGUUGAAAUACACAAAGGAAAUGGAGGAGGUGCUCACAGCUGGAAAGUAUUUUUGACAUAAAAUUGUGGGUGCACGAAAUGCCUCCGGAGAGAGAGACAUCUCGAAGAACACAAAAACACCAUGCAUUCAAUCUUGGGAAGGAAUUCUCUUUCUAUUUGUAUAUUUCAAAUCAAAAAUCAAUCAGUCAUUUUUCAUAAUAGUUGUUACAACAAAACUUAAUGUGGCCACACUUGUUCAAGUCCUCUUUAUCUGUUCGUCCACUUGAAGCAGCAGAAAGUGUGAGGACAGGAAAUACUGAAGAAAAGCUUUUGAUAAUUUGAUACAGAGACAGGUUUUAUUUUCCACAGGUAGAUCUCGGACAAGCCUUAAUAUCGAAUUCUGUAUCAUUAUCAGGUUCAUUCGAUGUACAAUCAUAAUGGCUGCCCCUGUCACUCAUCCUUUUUUAUCAUUUCUUUAAAAUCCUUUAAUGAGACUGAAGAUGGGGACACUCCUUUUCUUUUUCUUUUUUACACAUGUUGCUCAAAUGCAGCCAUGCAUUGGGCUCAUGUUUCUGUCAAGCCUUUGGCAGGUUACCUAUUUGAGAAGAUGGAGAAAUAAAAGAUUCAUGAUGUCAAACUGUCA